UCUGUGUUGGACAUGCUCUGGAUGUGUAUCUUAAUGCUAGUUAAAUCUGUUGCUUUGCUUUAUCUAAAACUAAGUUUCUACAUCUGAGACUUGUAUAAUUUGCUAUGCAAUCACCUGAAAUGUGCUCAACAGUCAAUAAAUGCUGUCAUCCACUGCCUUGCUGCUUCUCUUUCUCGUGCUUCUUGCUGUCUGAGAACUCUGGGUUGCAUUUGGAAAUUUACCGAGACAGUGGCUCGGGUUUUGAUGAGGUCUUUUCUUUAGGCCUGCACAAUAUCCAGCUUUCCUGUCGAUGAUUCACCAGGAUCCAGCUGAAUCCUCAGGGAUGGGCUUUUGCUCCUCAGAACCUUGCUCUUUCAGCGAAUCUAAGAGAUUCUUAAUAAGUCCAGACUCUGCUGUAUCUUCAUUGUGUUAUAUUUUUAAAGGAAAAAGAAUAAAGGUAUUUUGAUGUUGACAGUUUUUACAGAGUCUGCCUCUGUAGUCUUGACAAACAAUAAAAAAGCAAAAUAAAGCAGAGCCUUGACUGAAUCCUUCUAAACAACUCUGGAGAGAAUUUGUGAGCAAGAGUUUAAUUUAAAAUGCCAGUGUGGAGGGAAAGUGGAGUAUUUUCUUUUAAUGAUAAUCCACAGAUGCCCUCCCCAAAACUUUUCCUUAUAGCUUUAUAUUUUCUGCCAUAUUUUGGAAGAAGAUAGGUUUCAAAGAAAACAUGGGUCCCUUGACUAUCAUGCUCCCUAGUUCUGACCAACCCAUCUCUUGAUAUUAUUUAUUGUUCCUACAUUAAGUCACAAAUCUGCCCCUUUGCCUCCAUCCAAGUCCAUUUGAGGGAAGCUUGUUCCAAGACCAGAUCAUUUUCUAUGAUUUUAUCAUUUCUUCCAUGAAGCUAAAUUAAAAGCCUGUUCAUCCAGAAAACACUUUAGAGCACCCACAUAUAAUGAUCUGCAUCAGGAAAAAAAUAAGAGGAAGUUCAAAUAAGGCUGGCAGGUUCUGGUUCUCUAACUUCUGCCAUAGGCUAGAAUCUUACCCCAACAGCCCUAAUCUACUCAGAAGGGGCAGCAUUGGCUACAGAAGUUUCAGUUGCCGAAUGUUUGCUUUUCCUGGAAGAUUUUCAUGUUGUACCAAUGAAGCUCUGACUGGAGUCAGCACCUUUCUGUUGUCUUAUUAUUAUGUUUGUGAUAAUUCAGAAUUUUUAUCCUGUAUUUAAUCACCUUUACUCUAUAAUCAGACUUAUCCAAAUAAUUUUUGACAUCCAUUCUCUAUUCGUAAAGACACAUUUGAGCCAGACAUGGUGGCACACACCCUUAGUCCCAGUAUGUGGGAGACUGAGGCAGGAGGAGGAGGAGGAGGAGGGAUGCCAUGAGAUUGAAACUAGCCUGAUCUAUGCAGCAUGUACACUUCUAGCAAGAUCUACAUAGCAAGACUGUCAAGACAAACAGAUAAGUCUCCUUUUUACAACAUUUUGAUGUUUGGAUCUGACCUUUGCUUCUCAUUUUACAUCAUACUCUAAUUUAUAACAUUUGUCCAGCAGUCUCCCCGUAAGCUUCAGUAUUUCCUGAAGGGCCUCUUUACACCUGAGUGUGCUCAAGUUCUGGGUCCUUUACCUUACUUAAUGAUUUGAAGUACCUGAAAGCCUAACAAGAAAAUUCAAUUUCUUUGACUCACAAUGCUUGUAUUUCUCUAUAUUUGUGUAUAUGUACAAAUUUGACUUGAGAUGUAUGAAUCAGUAGAAUUAAAACAAUGAAUUUUCAUCUUUCCCUUAACAAAUGAGAGGCUGGGUAACAUUAGUAUUAUAUUGUACAGGGCGACAAUUCUCCAGAUUCUUUGAAACUUAUACCUUAGAAAGUGACAGCUGCCUUCUAGUUCUGCAUCGCUCUCCAUACUCCCUCCUUCUCUUCCCUUCCUGUCUUUAGUUAGCAUUUGAGUGGAAUGUCAGAAACAAACCGUUCCCUACUUGUUCUGACUUUCUUACUUGUUUCCCUAUCCCUGAGUUAUCAUAUUUGCUCAUUGACUGUCUCUGCAUAUAUCGCACAUAAUCCAGCAACAUUUGGAUCCUCCGGGAACUUGCAAGAAAUGUAUGCCUGUUCUUGGAUAUACUGAAACAAGACCAACAUUUUCAAGGUAACCUAGUGAUUUUUCUUUAGGGUAAAGAUUAAAAAGCUGUGGGGUAUACGAACACUCAAUGUUUUCUUCUUGGUUCAGAAUCUUGCUUGCAGGGAAUAUCCAUCUGCUAAGAGAAAUCCCUCAAUCUGUAAACUAUUUGGAAAGUCUGACAUCCUGCUCUGUGCAGUUCAAAAUUACAUACCAUUCAUGAACUUUCUCACAAUGAUAUUUGAACGCAACAUUUUUUAUAUGAGUAGUUCAUGGGAUUAUCACUGUGCCCUGCUUCUGUUGUCUCUAUAAACUAACUUGCUAUGAUUUGUAGGAAUUUGCCAUGAGUGGAGUAAACUCAAAGUCUAGAAAAGGAGGAAACAGAGUCACCCUUGUCAAAGUAGACUGAGGGAAUUGCUCUUCCCCAUCUCAGGCCCACCCACCCUCCAAGGUCUGCUAAGUUUGCAAUGCUUGUGAUGUUGUUAUAAUAACCUACAACCAAGACAAGCAUGCAUUUUAAUCCAAAUUCUGUUCUGGAGUUAGAAAAAUCUUUUACUAUUAUAAAUCUGUGAAUAGAGAGACAGAAACCAGAGUAAUAGCUAUUUUUUAGCUUGUUUACAUAUUGUGACAGAAAAUGCAGGAAAGGAAGACAUAUUUGAAAGUAUGACUAUCACGGACUUUACAAAAUGCUUUUAGAAAUCCAUGAUACCUUUUUUCAAAAUGCCAUUAUGCGAAGUGAGCAGAAUGAAGGUGGAGAAGGAGUGAAAAGAGGAAGGAGAGGAAGAAAAAGGAAGACAAAAAUUACUCACAAACCUCAUCAGACCAAUGAUGCCACUCACAUGUUCAAAAGUCUCUAAAUAUCCCACUUUUUUUGGGUAUAUUAUUUGUUUCAGGAAACAAGACCCUCAUUCAAGCAGAGGAGACUGCUCAUUAUGUGGUCAUUAGAUAUUCCAUUAGAUCAAAAUGACACAGAUGCACUGUCCCUUAAUCUAAAAUGUCUACCUAUGCCCUGGACCUCCCUGGACUACCCUUGAGCAUCUCUGACUUUGCCUGCUCCAGGAAGGGUCUCUCCCACUAACGGAAAUGUUAUGGGAAGACAUUUUUCCUUUUUAUUAAAAAACGCCAAAGUGUUAAAGAAUCAGAGCCAUCUGUUUUAAACUAGCCUUCAGAAUUCUAAAAUAUUUAGGGCCGUUAGAAAAAUUACAUAACGGAUAUAGUUGUUUACUUUGUCAUAUUGAACAAAUAUAGAUAUUCUGUCUCAUUUACUUUAUUUCUAAGAUAGAAAGCGUUUCUGUGAAGAACUCGUCAGAGUCACUUCCUCACAUUCUUUACUAGUCCCCAAGAUUUGCCUCUGUCUAGCUUGUGGUUUGUCUCCUUCCACCUGUGCUUUGCGAUCUUUGUCUUGCAGUCCAUUAGUAUUUAAUGACCAUAUUUUUCCUCUUCUUUGUGUGUGGCAUCUGCAUGUGUGCAUAUGUGUGUACGAGUGCACUUGCCUGUGCAGUCCUGUGUGGAGGUCAAAGGUUCACAUUAUAAUGUCUUUCUCAACCACUUCUCUUCCCUAUUUUUGACAGGCUCUUAAUGAACCUGGAGCUCAACAUCUGGGCUAGCCCAGAUGGCCUGUUGCAUCCUCCUGUUUCUAUCUCCCAGCACAGGGGCUGCAGGUACUUACCACCACCCAUGGUUGUUGGUGACCCAAACUCAGAGACUCAGGCUUGCACAGUGAGCACUACACCCUCUGAGCCAUCUCUCCAAGCUCAAUAUGCACUUUUAAAAUUAAAAUGCUUUACUUAAGUAUUGUUUUGUGACUUUUUCACUCAGUAUUUGACAUCGCAAGCACAUGUAUACUAAUAUAUGUAAAACUAUUUUUAAAUUCAUUUUUAAGUGGAUCAAAUUUUCCUUGCUAAGGAAUAUAUUAGCAUUUAUGUGUAUAGCUUUCUAACCCUCCUUAAUUUUUCAAUACUGUAUAGCUGUGAACAUCUUUGUGCCUCGGCUCCAUAUGGAUAUAGGAAAAAGACUUUCAAUCCUAGAACAGAAAACAAUAGCAACAGUUUUUGGUGGAAGAGUCCAUUUAAACAUUUUUUUAGCUAUUUCCAUGUUCCUAAAAGUUAGUUAUACUAAUUUUGUAUCUUAUAUUUAUUAUUUGUAUAGUUUGUACAGUAUUGUUGUUGAUACAAAACAAUCCCCUUCCCAAUUGCUGCUUCUCCAAAAUGUUUCUUACAAUAUUACCAUUCUUUUAAUCUUUAUGGCUUUUCCAACAAGGUUUCUGAUCUAUUUAGUAUUGCCUUAUUUUUCCUCAAACUUGCCUUAAUAGACUUGAGCUUUACUUGAAAAAUAAAAUUUAGAAUCACAGCUUUAUCCUAGGCCUUCUUGUACUCCUCACACUCGUCUACAGCCCGUGUGUUAUUCUGUUUCCCCUUGUUAUAAUGGAAAUACCCAAGACUGGGUGGUCUUCUUGAGUCUCAUGAGCAUCUUGUGGUGGUUGCUAUCACAAUGAGAGAAGGACAUGUAAAGAGACAUAAUUGGGCCAAAUAAGAAGCCAGAGACUAUGGAGGGUCCAACCUUGCUCCUUUUACAACUCAUUUUCAUGGGCACUAAUUAUUGUAGUGCAUUUUUGAAGCUUUCAGAAGUAUCCUGAGUAGUAGUUGUUUUGCCUAUUUUAUAUACACUUAAAAAUUAAAUCAUAAUUACAUUGCUUUCUCUUCCCCAUUCCUCUCCCCAACCCUUUCAACAUACCUCCCUUGUUAUGUCUGAACUUCAUGGUCUCUUUGUCUUUAAAUUUUGUUGCAUAAUUAUACACAUAAACACAUCUACAUGCAUAUAUAUCCCUAAGUAUAUUGAUACAACCUGCUAUAAAUCAAUCUACAGAACAAUUCCUGUACCUCAGAUUAUAGAGAAAGGGAUGGAAAGAUUGUAAGAGCCAGAGAAACAAGAAGUUUGCUGUGAGGCUUUGUCUCAUAGAGAUGUCAGAGAAGUUACAUUCAAUGAAGUCUCAUUAACAUGACUGUCUAAGUAAGGUCUGAACAAGCAUGAUGACCAUGAAACCAUGAAAAGAGAAAAAGACCAGGAUGCUUUAACCCUGGACAAAGAAUUACAGGUAACUAAGGAAUGCUGGGAACAGGAGAAAUAGUCUUCCCUGGGCAAGUUACCCGCCCACCUCCAAAUUGUUUUCCUAAUACCAAAUGUUUAACUUUGAACUCAUAUACACAAAAGGAACUUUACAAUUAUUUUAUUUGUGUGCUUUCUCUUUCUAUACUUAUCUUCCUGCUCUAGGAGUUUCACUCUUACCUUCCUUAGUCCUUAGAUAAGAUUCUGUCAGCCGAGAGUCCUAAUCUUGCUAGUGUGACCAAAUGGCACCUGUGACUAAAUAAGGUGUGUGGUUCUUUCUGGCCAGGGGAAACUGGAAAUGCCUGUUUCCUACGGACCAGAAACAGUGGCCCAUCUUCCUCCUUUUGUCUUUCAUGAAUUAAAGAAUCUCUCUACUGCCCUUAGUUUCUGGUGCUGUGCUGGAUCUGAUCCCAGAAUCCUUUAUGGGAACUGUUGACUACGAGUUCUCUAUGUUGAUUCUAGUAUUAUGUUUGCUAAUUUAUUUUGAUACUUACACAAAGCACUCUUUGUCAAUCCAAGCACAAUGUUCCUUAGCCUUAGAAAUCCGUCACUUUGCCCCUCUUUUUUUCUCUUUUCUGCUUGCUUAAGCCUGGACACUCUCCCCAGUUAAGAUAGUAUCUUUCCAUUUCUCCCCAGUGUCCUCAUCUCUCUAACCAAAAGAAUUAUAACUAAAAUAUUUAUGUGCAGAGGUGAGUCCUCACAGUUGACAUUCUCCCACAUCCCCAGUCUUGAUUUAAGAACAUCUUUGUUCUGUCUUGUCUUACUCAGCUAAGAACAGCCAAGGCAAACGUAGUUAUGACUAGGCAAUUGGAAUAUUUUUCCCCUUUCCCAGUGUUCUCAUAUUACCUUGGGAAAUGUGGCUAUUAUGUUUAAAAAUCACCUUGGUUAUCUUUUAAAUGGUAGAUAAAAAUGACACAUACAUUCUCUUUUAAAUACAGUUUUUUACCCCUUCCCUUUUUAAAGGACACACUGGCGGAUAGUGGGCUGUGGGUGUGGUCUUUAUGUGGGUAAGAAAGGGAAACAGAUCAACCUCACUCAUGACAACUAAUUUUCUGGCGAGCACAGAAAGCAAAUAAGAAAGGAGGAAGAAAAUGCAUUCUACGUAAAUCUCUGUGCUACAAGGGAAGCAUUGUUACCUGGCAGAACCUGACGGAGUUUUGCAUGGUUUCUGAAACACUUGCCACACUGCAGUGGCGACUAAUCAAGGCUCAGUCCAUAUAAACACAAAGCUUGAUAUCUUUGAAGAUGGGAGGUAUGGAGCUCAAUGUUACCAUCAGGGGAAAAUAGCAUCUCUGGUUAGAGUUUAGACUUUAAAAACAGAGAGCAGAGAGAGACAAUUGGUGGCUUCACUCUGCCAGGUAUCAGGGAUAUUUAUAACUCCCGGUUUCAUUGAACUUCAACAUCUAGCUAGCUCCCUAGAGGCGUGGCUUUCAUCGCACUCCCACCCCACCUCCACACCGUCAAGUCAGAAAUAACCACUGUUCUACAUUUUAUGCAUUAAGAUGAAAUCCAUGAAUUAAGAUCCUUAUUGCCUGAGGGCUUUGCUAACCACGUGCAGAAGCUGGGAUUUUAUAGACGAAUCUGAGCUGACUCUAGGGCAGCUGCUCUGUAGACAGUAUCUCAAAGUGUUAAAAGAGAAUUUUCUUCAUUUUAUAGAUGAGGGAAAUGGGCCAUGGGUGGAAAGUCAAAAUCUCUUAGAAAACGUAUAAGAAUUAUUUAGGUAAUGGAAGACAGGUGAGGCUAACCCAUGGUCAGUAUCCAUGUAUCUCAGAAGCUUUUAGUAACUGACCUGUAUUUCUUGACACCUUAAGAAUACAUCAUGGGUCAAGGCUCUUGUGCAAUAGUUACAAGACCAGGGAGUCUGCAUCUCAGUGAGCACUUGGGCAUUUUAAGUGCAGAAACUUACACAUACCUUUUCAGGAUCUGGUGCAAACACUAUUCCAGAACAAUGUCAUCAUUGUCUAACAAAGUGGGUUUUAGUAGAAGAAAAUGCCAUAGUGGUUCUAAUACCCUGUAUCAAAUUUAAAAAUUGAAAAAAAAAACACAAUACAAAAUACCACCGAGCUCUGUGAGCUUUGGAGUUUCUAAUACCUUGUGUGCUAAUAUAAAAAAAUUAAAAAAAAAAAUUACAGCACAAAAAGAAGGCUGUCCUCUGUGGGUUUGGGAGUCAGGCAGUCUGCUUUAUAAGUUCCUGUGACUGUGGAUAAUUUUUAACCUAAGUUUGUUCAACUGCAGAAAGGAAAUAUUGACUGUUUCUAAUAAUUACUAUGAGGCCGAUUAUUAUGAGCUGUCACAUUUGUCAUGUUUAUCAAGCAAGGUACAAAAUCCUAUCCCAGAAGGGAAAAUGAGCUUUGUGAGUCAGACACCUUCCAUACACCCAUGUUCUCUUCAUUACUCCUUUCUCUGUCCUAGAAGCCUUCUCCAAUCACUCUCUUAUACCUUAUAGCUCAUAGAAAUUCCAUAUCCUUCUGUCACCCGAGUACCAUUUAUUUGCUCAGUCAAUGUAGUCAUCUACUCUGUGUGUGACAAGCCCUGUAUUUGGGGCUAAGAGAACUUAGAUUAACAAUCUGCAUGAUCCUCUUAAGUCAUUAACACUCUGCAGAGGACGGCAAAGAUAACCACCACAUCGAAUACACACUACAAUGGGGCCAACAUAACUAUCAUGAAACCCAAACAACCACAAAGAUUCUCAGUUUGCAUUGCUCUUUUCAAGGAAGGCAGGGCAAAGUAGAAGGCAGGAAGAGAUUAUCGCAUGAGCAAAGAGAGAGCAUUAGGAAUAGUCACUGGUACUCUGGGGACCACAAAGAGUGAGUGUGAAAGGUAGAUAUGGGAAGUUAUUAGGACAAAUGUCAAAGUUGAAACUUUCCAUCAGUGUAAAAGAUGUUUGUCCAGUGAUCCUAACAGAUCAAGUUGGCAUUUUGAAAUCAGUACCUUGGUGAGAUUUUGGAAGAAGGGGCAUGAAAAGAUGAUGUAUGGAUAGAGAGGAAGAUUGUUGUCUCAAGGAGAGAGUAUAGUGAGAAUGGAGAAUGGGAGAUGGAUGGAGAGAGGAAGAUUUAGAUGGAAAGACAAUGUACUCAGUGGUAGAAGAGAGAACAGGAAAGCAGCUGACAGUACACACAGGUUUGAGGCGUAUACUUCUAUCUUGACUCUCCUGUGUUCUUCUCCUUUGGAGUCCAUCUUGAUGUAAAUAUAUAUAUUUGUUUGUUUUUAAAAAAUAAAAUGGAAAUACUAAAAAGAAAAAUGAAUGUGGUUGGGAUUUUACAAUCCAUCAACUAGUAAAUGUUUUUUUGAGUACCCAUUAGAUUGUUUUCCUGUCUCUUUAUUGUGAAAAGGGCUUCAAGCAAAAGCAUCAGACAGCUGGAGAGAGACACUCUUGGGAGAAAUGCAGCCAAUACGAUAAAUAUGACCGUUCAGGUUUUUCCUACAGCUUCUCAAUGAACCUGGGCUUGUUUAUUUAUUUACUUUUUUAUAGAGACAGUGUCUAGUGAAGCCCAGGCUGGCCUUGACCUUGACCUCCUGUCCUACUUCCGCUUCUGAAGUACUGGGAUUAUAGACAUAGAUUCUAAAUACCUUAUUUACACAAUGCUGGGCCUUGAACUGGGGAUUUCAUGGAAGAUAAACAAAGAGUAGACUGAUUGAGCCAGGUCCCUAGCUGGUUUUUCUUUUAACUUUUAUGUUUCCUAAACAGUAAUGCCAAAACAAACCAAAACACUGUAAGACAAAUAAAAGAGUAAAAAUAAAACUGAGCACAUACUGAAAAGAUUAAAAUUAGCCAAAUGCUAGAAAUAGUCAUAAACGAACAAUUACAUAGUAAAUAUAAAUAGAACUGUAGCACACCACCUAGGGCAGUGUUAACAGCCUUCUGGAUGGGAAUAUUGAGACAAUUUCUCUUUUAAAGUGAGAAAAAAAUUCACUGUGAUUAUUUAAUUCAAGAAAACCAGCAGUUGCCUUAGAACUUUUUUAUUGGUCAAUGAGUAGUAACUGGGAAAGAAAUAAGAGUACCUUUGUGUUUGGUGAGAAUUUAAAAAAUAUUCUUGAUACUUUAGAUUCAUAAGAAGGUAUAACUUAUCACUUAUCAGAUGAACAUCUACAGCAAUGUCGUAGGACUGAACUUCUAACCACCAUGGAAUUGCUAUAGAUAAAGAUAACCACUUGUAAUAACUAUUGCUAGUCAGACGAGUGUUGAAAACAUGAGCAACCACAUUAUACGAAGCUCUUUACUAGUUUUUCUUUCUAUAUUUAUUCUGAAAAAAAUGUGAGUGACGGAUUAAUAGUAAUAACCAAUUGAUAAAAAUUAAACCUGAUCUUCUAUUUGACUUAUGCGCAGAAACUUCAGGAAUAAGGCGCGACCUCAUUCCUUAUACAUACAAGGCUUUACUACAGCUCCUCCUCUCACCAUUUCUAGGUCUGUUCCUCCAUCUACUGUGCACAAUAAACUCUUUUUAAGCUCUUUUUAAGGGAGAUCCCAUUGCCAUGAGAGCACUGAAAACCAUGGGCUCAACUUCUCAGUCAACAAGAUGACGUGGCGAUUCCAACCCAGUGCCGUGAUUCCUGGUGAGCACUGGACGAGAAAGGGUCAAUGUAACCUGACAAGGAGACAGGACCAUGUGACAUAGCUGGGACUCUGGGACAUCAGGAAAUGGCGCACACCUAGUUCAUUGCUUCAUUUCUCAAAAGACUUUUCCCCAGUGUCGGGAAUCAAUGACCUCUUCUACCCCAAGACUCUAAAUAGCACGAUGCUAAUUAAGGAAAUGGUUCAGCUAUGCCUCCUUUGCUCCUUGGCUUAUUGGGAGCAUUAUCUUGUAGAGAAUGGCCUGAGUUGUUGAUGAAUGAUUAACCACCCUCAGGGAAUAAAGCUUCCAACACGAAAUUGAGAAAAGUCUACAACACCUGUUAAAAUAUGCAUCCUGAGUUUUGACAAAACCCAAGUUCAGAACAAGCUUCUCUGUCAUUGUUGUGUUUGUUGUCUCUGAGCACGCGUUCCUUCAGAGGCAGAAUGUGAAGGCUGGCCUGUCAGCCAUCAUCUGUGGGUUUGUUAGAAGGUUAAAUAUAAUGAUUUGGGCAAAGCAUUUGGCAGAAUGCCCGGAAGAGAGGCGUGCUCUAUACAGAUAGCCUUUCUCUUUCCCUCUUCACGUUGCUUAAAAAGUCUCUGAGGAUCCCUUUGUUGAUGACACAUUUUUGGCUGGAGAUGGAACUGAGAUAGGAGGCAAGGCCGGUCUCUAAAAUCACCAGUAACCAGUGGAAAUCUCGGCCAGCCAUUCCUCACUCCUUGGUUCUAUGUCACAUACAUUCAUUGUGUUUUUAAAAGACAAGUUUGACUUAUCAUUUUGCUCGAUUUCCUCUGUUACCUUAUUGCUGUCUGCAAGUGCAGGCCACCUCACUUCAGUAACAAGGAUGGUAACCAUAAACUAAUGUAUGCCAUUGUCGAUGUAAGCCUUUAUCAAAUAUUAUACCUUCUUUCCUGCCUUCAUUGCAAGAGUUAAAUAAUGUUCUUUAAAGUUGAUGGUAACAUUUCUAUUUAAAAUCGGCAAAAACUGAAAUUCUGUUAUGGAGUUACCUUAUUUUUCCUCAUUAAAAUUAAUUGAACUUUAACAAAUGAAUUGAUUAGAAUGAAACAAAAGCGGAACACAUUCAUAAGAACAACUUGAUACCAGACUACUUGUUUUGCACUCAGUGUACUUGGGCUAAUGUGCAAAUGUAAUAUACUUCUACCAUUGCAUGAUUGGGAAAGGAAAAUCAAUGAGGCAGGUAUCUUAGCAGUGAUACACUUUCCUGGUGGUGAAUCAUGAACCCACAUUAUUGCUUUUUAUUUAUGUAUUUGUGUUCUUUCUCAGGGAGCUUGUAUUUAUUUCCUCUAAAAUUAUGGAUGGUAAGUGGAAUGAGAUGUAUCUGUGUGUCAGAGGCACAGCAGAGGUGAUGUGUAGUCAUGGCAUAGGGUGGGCUGUCGUUUAAUUUCCUGUAUUCCCUGCCAUAAGUAAGGGCCCGUGUUGAGACUAAGACAGAAAUGCUAAACUAUUGGAAGCAUCCAUGUAUGAAUCAAAAUGUGCCCAGGAGAAAAUUCUGAUGCAUCUGCAGAUUUGUAAGAUCAGGGGGCUUAUAAAGAGUUUAUUGUGCACAGUAGAUGGAGGAACAGACCUAGAAAUGGUGAGAGGAGGAGCUGUAGUAAAGCGCCUUGUAUGUACAAGUCAAUUCUGUUAUCUGGUACGCGCACCAGGGUCACACAGCUGCCUAGUCUCGUGGAUGGGAAUCAAGUGUAGGAAACCGCAGUAGAAAGAUCGAAUCCGGAUGAAAAUCAUCCAUACCAUUCUAUUAAUGCAUAUGAAUCUCCUUCAGGGAAUUUCCAGAUAGGUGGCGAAGACUUCUGAGGGAAGCUGGAGUGCCCAAUGUACUGUAAUUGUUCCAUUUUUUUAAUCCAACAAUGCUCACGAGAAAAGAGCUUCAGCUAGAUUCUCUUCUACUGAGUGGAGGGACUGCAUGUCAAGGGAGGGUAAGAAUUUCCCUAGCUGUACAGGCUACACUCGAGGGAGAUCAAGAGAGCCACGGUUACUGUUUGGUGAGUGAUUACUCAUUUACUCCUCACAGCAAGCCUGCUAUGACCCCGCUCUUGUGAGAAAGCAGAAGUGCAGGGAGGUUAUGUAAGUUGUUCAGGUCGCUUUCAAAUGCUACAUAUGACAUCUCGAGCAGAGAGCCUGUUUCCAGCACCCGUUCUCCUACCACCAAGUCACACUCGUGGCUGGCACAGAGAAGGUGCUCACUGUUUGCUUGUUCAGACCGCGUCACCAAAACAUGGAAAACUCAUUGAGUUUAAUAUUCUGGGCUUAACAGACUGAUUAUUUUCAGGAGCAAACUGAAGGAUAUUCGUAAGUAUGCUGAAGUGACAGGUGGAGAACAAUUCCCAUUAAUUAUUAUGUCUAAUUAUUCCACUUAAUAAUGAUGAGAUGCAAAUAAGACCAACCAAUAAAAAAUGAGGAAAAUACACAAGUAUAAUGUAUAGAAAAAGCACAAAGUAUUACCAUUCCUUCAGCUUCGAACAAGACCAUGAUCAACAUCAAAGGACAACCUAUAGCCCAAGACAUGUGCCUGUCUGCACUCCAGGCUUGCUUACCUUGCUACGGAUGAUGAGAGGGAGUGGCAAUAAAACCAAAACAGUGAAAACCACAAGGAGAAAGCGACGAUACACAAAAGCGUAAUUGAGGAGCUUCAUUGUCCUGAGCAGGUGCCUUCAACAGUGUCCCCCUCACUCUCAGGCAGAAGUUAAAUAACCAGGCUGGAUUAAUAUUUCUCUACCUCAUCAUCUUUACCUACUGCCUCAGACAGACCAACGCUGGUUAAAAUUAAAUCUCAUUUUUAUUGUUUUACUAUCACAAUUAAAAGAAAGAGAUAAGCCCAA
rnacentral:sRNA from 1 species